rnacentral:rRNA from 1 species
GACGAACGCUGGCGGCGUGCUUAACACAUGCAAGUCGAACGGAAAGGCCCUGCUUUUGUGGGGUGCUCGAGUGGCGAACGGGUGAGUAACACGUGAGUAACCUGCCCUUGACUUUGGGAUAACUUCAGGAAACUGGGGCUAAUACCGGAUAGGAGCUCCUGCUGCAUGGUGGGGGUUGGAAAGUUUCGGCGGUUGGGGAUGGACUCGCGGCUUAUCAGCUUGUUGGUGGGGUAGUGGCUUACCAAGGCUUUGACGGGUAGCCGGCCUGAGAGGGUGACCGGCCACAUUGGGACUGAGAUACGGCCCAGACUCCUACGGGAGGCAGCAGUGGGGAAUAUUGCACAAUGGGCGGACGCCUGAUGCAGAAACGCCGCGUGCGGAAUGACGGCCUUCGGGUUGUAAACCGCUUUCGCCUGUGACGAAGCGUGAGUGACGGUAAUGGGUAAAGAAGCACCGGCUAACUACGUG